rnacentral:rRNA from 1 species
GACGAACGCUGUUUGGCACGCUUAACACAUGCAAGUCGAACGAGAGAAGAGAAGCUUGCUUUUCUGAUCUAGUGGCGGACGGGUGAGUAACACGUGAGCAAUCUGCCUUUCAGAGGGGGAUACCGAUUGGAAACGAUCGUUAAUACCGCAUAAUAUAAUUGAACCGCAUGAUUUGAUUAUCAAAGAUUUAUCGCUGAAAGAUGAGCUCGCGUCUGAUUAGCUAGUUGGUAAGGUAACGGCUUACCAAGGCGACGAUCAGUAGCCGGACUGAGAGGUUGAUCGGCCACAUUGGGACUGAGACACGGCCCAGACUCCUACGGGAGGCAGCAGUGGGGAAUAUUGCACAAUGGAGGAAACUCUGAUGCAGCGAUGCCGCGUGAGGGAAGAAGGUUUUAGGAUUGUAAACCUCUGUCUUCAGGGACGAAAAAAGACGGUACCUGAGGAGGAAGCUCCGGCUAACUACGUGCCAGCAGCCGCGGUAAUACGUAGGGAGCGAGCGUUGUCCGGAAUUACUGGGUGUAAAGGGAGCGUAGGCGGGAUCGCAAGUCAGAUGUGAAAACUAUGGGCUUAACCCAUAAACUGCAUUUGAAACUGUGGUUCUUGAGUGAAGUAGAGGUAAGCGGAAUGCCUAGUGUAGCGGUGAAAUGCGUAGAUAUUAGGAGGAACAUCAGUGGCGAAGGCGGCUUACUGGGCUUUAACUGACGCUGAGGCUCGAAAGCGUGGGAAGCAAACAGGAUUAGAUACCCUGGUAGUCCACGCCGUAAACGAUGAUUACUAGGUGUGGGGGGACUGACCCCUUCCGUGCCGCAGCAAACGCAAUAAGUAAUCCACCUGGGGAGUACGACCGCAAGGUUGUAACUCAAAGGAAUUGACGGGGGCCCGCACAAGCAGUGGAGUAUGUGGAUUAAUUCGAAGCAACGCGAAGAACCUUACCAGGUCUUGACAUCGUAUGCAUAGCUCAGAGAUGAGUGAAAUCUCUUCGGAGACAUAUAGACAGGUGGUGCAUGGUUGUCGUCAGCUCGUGUCGUGAGAUGUUGGGUUAAGUCCCGCAACGAGCGCAACCCUUACUGUUAGUUGCUACGCAAGAGCACUCUAGCAGGACUGCCGUUGACAAAACGGAGGAAGGUGGGGAUGACGUCAAAUCAUCAUGCCCCUUAUGACCUGGGCCUCACACGUACUACAAUGGCUGUCAACAGAGGGAAGCAAAGCCGCGAGGUGGAGCGAACCCCUAAAAGCAGUCUUAGUUCGGAUUGUAGGCUGCAACCCGCCUACAUGAAGUCGGAAUUGCUAGUAAUCGCAGAUCAGCAUGCUGCGGUGAAUACGUUCCCGGGCCUUGUACACACCGCCCGUCACGCCAUGGGAGUCGGUAACACCCGAAGCCUGUAGUCUAACCGCAAGGAGGACGCAGUCGAAGGUGGGAUUGAUGACUGGGGUG